rnacentral:rRNA from 1 species
UAUUGGUCAAUGGGCGCGAGCCUGAACCAGCCAAGUAGCGUGAAGGCUGACGGCCCUAUGGGUUGUGAACUUCUUUUAUAUGGGAAUAAAGUUUGGUAUUCAUACCAUUUUGUAUUUACCAUAUGAAGAAGGAGCGGCUAACUGCGUGCCAGCAGCCGCGGUAAUACGGAGGAUCCGAGCGUUAUCCGGAUUUAUUGGGUUUAAAGGGAGCGUAGGUGGACAGUUAAGUCAGUUGUGAAAGUUUGCGGCUCAACCGUAAAAUUGCAGUUGAUACUGGCUGUCUUGAGUACAGUAGAGGUGGGCGGAAUUCGUGGUGUAGCGGUGAAAUGCUUAGAUAUCACGAAGAACUCCGAUUGCGAAGGCAGCUCACUGGACUGCAACUGACACUGAUGCUCGAAAGUGUGGGUAUCAAGCAG